AUUGAACGCUAGCGGCAUGCCUUACACAUGCAGGUCGAACGGCAGCGGGGGAGCUUGCUCCCGCCGGCGAGUGGCGAACGAGUGAGUAAUACAUCGGAACGUACCCAGUAGCGGGGGAUAGCCCGGCGAAAGCCGGAUUAAUACCGCAUACGCCCUACGGGGGAAAGGGGGGGAUCGCAAGACCUCUCACUAUUGGAGCGGCCGAUGGCUGAUUAGCUAGUUGGUGGGGUAAAGGCCUACCAAGGCGACGAUCAGUAGCUGGUCUGAGAGGACGACCAGCCACACUGGGACUGAGACACGGCCCAGACUCCUACGGGAGGCAGCAGUGGGGAAUUUUGGACAAUGGGCGAAAGCCUGAUCCAGCAAUGCCGCGUGUGCGAAGAAGGCCUUCGGGUUGUAAAGCACUUUUGUCAGGGAAGAAAUCGUUUGGGUUAAUACCCCGAGCAGUUGACGGUACCUGAAGAAUAAGCACCGGCUAACUACGUGCCAGCCGCCGCGGUAA
rnacentral:rRNA from 1 species